UAUCCUCAAAUUCAAUGAAUGUGCAAGUUUGUCUAGAUUUUAAGAGUUCCCUGAAGAAUGAUCUGCGCCUGACCAAUGAUGUCCAAUCGAUCGUCAUCUCUUAUCUCCAGCUUUACCUCACCACCACGACUGGAACACUGCUUCUCAGACCAAUAUCCAGCAAGGACUGUAUGUGCAGACCCUUUUAGAAAUAAAGUUGUUGUACGAUGCUUGAUGAUUGCCAGUAAGCACUGAUUUCUCUUGUGCAUGUCCAGUGAAGCCCAUCACCCAGGUUUGUAAUAUUUAUGAGUUUACAUUGUACAUAUUUCUCAUUCAAAUGGCUUUUGAAUGUUCUGCUCACCAGUGACUGGAUCUUCAGGGACACCAACCCAGGGUGCAAAGACACGGGAGUAGAAGUCAUAUCCAGUCUGAGUGGUCUGUGUUUCUUUCAAUGUAAUGAUGAGACUUUUAAUCUUACCAGUGGUCUCAUUUCUCAGAAGAGUCUCUGUCUCUGGCCUCAAAGAUUAAUGUCCAGCAGUACCUGUUGCAUGUGUCAGCUAGACGAAUCAUUAAUUUCUUUGUGGUUGGACUGUAACACACAUCCUGAAUGGGUAAGUCUCCAACAGCAGCCUGAAAAUGUUAGGCAAAAUGGUGACAAAAUAGUUUCUGCUUGUGUCAUACUAAAAACAGAAAUACUAACUGGCAGUGUUACCUUCAAAAGAUCCUUGAUUUCAUGUUGUA